ensembl:snRNA LOC120096785 U1 spliceosomal RNA
AUAUUUACCUGGCAGGGGAGAUCUCGUGGUCAUGAGGGUGAUUUUCCCAAGAUGAGGCUCAUCCAUCGCAGUCUAGGCAUGUUAACCCGUGACUCCUCUGAAGGCAGGAAAGUCAGCUGCAUGACUUGUGGCAGUCAAGAGUUCUGU